ACUGCUGGGAAACAGGCAGUGAGUGGAAGCAGCAGCAGCUCUGGAGAGUAAGUGGGUCUUAUGUAAAGUGCCAUUUGCCACAUAUUGUUAUUUCCAAAGGAUUUCAGAAUACCCUCGAACUCGAAAAACAGACCCCAGCGGAGACAACACUCUACCUGGACAUUUUAUUUGCUGUAAUGUUCUUACGAGUUGCAAGCCUGGUCCACUUUUUACUUCACAACUAAUGUGGAAGAGAACACAUCUGAUUCCAAGGAGAGGAGACUCAUCUCUUGUCCUCAAUAACAAAUGAGGAAUCUGAAGAGCUUGUUUUAAACAAUUUUGGUGGUCUUACAACCCACUGGCAUAGAAUCUCGAGUGUACUUCUUUCUAUUCACCAUGCCACCUACUUCUACUGCAGACAUGAAAUUAAUCAAGAUCACGUAGAAAUCCAUUGGCUUGGGAGGACAGAACAAUCUUAUUCAUAGAAACAUGAUGUUACUUUAUUAGUAAACAAAUUCAGUAUAAA
rnacentral:lncRNA from 1 species